rnacentral:tRNA from 1 species
GAGGGUAUAGCUCAGUGGCAGAGUGUGUGCUUAGCAUGCACGAGGUCCUGGGUUCAAUCUCCAGUACUUCCA